UUGGGCGUAAGAGCUUGUAGGCGGUUUGUUGCGUCUGCUGUGAAAGACCGGGGCUUAACCCCGGUAUUGCAGUGGGUACGGGCAGACUAGAGUGCAGUAGGGGAGACUGGAAUUCCUGGUGUAGCGGUGAAAUGCGCAGAUAUCAGGAGGAACACCGAUGGCGAAGGCAGGUCUCUGGGCUGUAACUGACGCUGAGAAGCGAAAGCAUGGGGAGCGAACAGGAUUAGAUACCCUGGUAGUCCAUGCCGUAAACGUUGGGCACUAGGUGUGGGGGACAUUCCACGUUUUCCGCGCCGUAGCUAACGCAUUAAGUGCCCCGCCUGGGGAGUACGGCCGCAAGGCUAAAACUCAAAGGAAUUGACGGGGGCCCGCACAAGCGGCGGAGCAUGCGGAUUAAUUCGAUGCAACGCGAAGAACCUUACCAAGGCUUGACAUAUACUGGAUCGCCUCAGAGAUGGGGUUUCCCUUCGGGGCUGGUAUACAGGUGGUGCAUGGUUGUCGUCAGCUCGUGUCGUGAGAUGUUGGGUUAAGUCCCGCAACGAGCGCAACCCUCGUUCUAUGUUGCCAGCACGUUAUGGUGGGGACUCAUAGGAGACUGCCGGGGUCAACUCGGAGGAAGGUGGGGAUGACGUCAAAUCAUCAUGCCCCUUAUGUCUUGGGCUUCACGCAUGCUACAAUGGCCGGUACAAAGGGUUGCGAUACUGUGAGGUUGAGCUAAUCCCAAAAAGCCGGUCUCAGUUCGGAUUGGGGUCUGCAACUCGACCCCAUGAAGUCGGAGUCGCUAGUAAUCGCAGAUCAGCAACGCUGCGGUGAAUACGUUCCCGGGCCUUGUACACACCGCCCGUCAAGUCACGAAAGUUGGUAACACCCGAAGCCGAU
rnacentral:rRNA from 1 species